GGUUUUUUUUAGCUUAAUGUACCUUAACUGAACAGCUUUGGAGUCAUGUGAAUGGUUAUAUGACUUCUUUUCGGGUUGAAUGGGGGUCGUCUCACCCCCCUCCCCCCCCAGCGCCUGGAAGCGACAGGAAGUAUUGCGUAAUAUCAGGUCUCGCAAUGUAACGAACUGCUUCACGGCACUGCACACAAACAGGAACCAGGUAGCUAUAAGAACAAGGUAGCGGUGGAGUUUUUCAAACUAGCGUCAUGGCUGAGCCGGC